UCUAUCUAUCUAUUGUAUUCGUCUUUUUGUUUCUUUUUAUCAUAUGGUCGUUUACAACAGUGGCUGACUUGAAACUUGGAUUAACGUGCUAAUCAAUAAUGUUUUUAUUUCAGUGUGAUAUAGAUGCUGGCCGAGUGUCUCCUGAGGGGACUUUGUAUCUACACGGGGGAAGAUCCUGAAAACUUUGUGCAGGAAUAUGUGAUAUGUACAUGAACAUGUCUAUUUUCACAUUCAUUUCUCAAUAGGGCUUUGUUAGAGGGUCUCAUUUUCUUACUGUUAUGUGCAUUUGUCUGCCUAAUUCAGGGCAUGGAUGGAGUUGAUGUCAUUGAAGACAACUGUUGGGGUUUAUGUCCUGAGAGAACAUGAGUCAAGUGAAUCAGAGGACAUUGGGGUUGUACUCCAAGGAAUAAAGUUUUGACAGAUCUACAUGGCAUACCGUUAGCUGUCACUAUGAUGUUGGAGUUGAUAACCUCAUGUACCUGCCCGUGCUUAGAUACACCUUUGAGGCAUUGCAAAAAAUCUUCAUGGAGCUGGAUGAAGGCAAACUGCCAAGGAACUAGAAAUGUCACCUUUUGGUCAGUCAUCUUUGAAUCUGGUCCAUCAGUCUUCAGGCCUGAUCUCUCUCUCUUUCUUUCUCUUCUUUCCCUCUCUCUCUUCUCCCUUUUCUCUCCCUUUCUCCCCUUCUCUCUCUUUUCUCUCUCUCUCGCUUCUCUCUCUCCUCUUCCUCUCUCACUCCUUUAUCUUUCUCCUCUCCCUGUGAUGUUUGCUGCACUUUUUUCCAUUUGUCAAUUGCUGGAUAAAAAACAAUACUGUGUAUUUCAUGUUGCUUUCAAUAAAAAUUGACUACUAAA